UACGUAGGUGGCAAGCGUUGUCCGGAAUUAUUGGGCGUAAAGCGCGCGCAGGCGGUCCUUUAAGUCUGAUGUGAAAGCCCACGGCUCAACCGUGGAGGGUCAUUGGAAACUGGGGGACUUGAGUGCAGGAGAGAAGAGUGGAAUUCCACGUGUAGCGGUGAAAUGCGUAGAGAUGUGGAGGAACACCAGUGGCGAAGGCGGCCGGCUGGGGGUGACCUGACGCUGAGGCGCGAAAGCGUGGGGAGCGAACCGG
rnacentral:rRNA from 1 species